rnacentral:tRNA from 1 species
GCGGGUGUAGCUCAGUGGUAGAGCGUCACGUUGCCAACGUGAGUGUCGUGGGUUCGAAUCUCAUCACCCGCU